rnacentral:rRNA from 1 species
UACAGAGGGUGCAAGCGUUAAUCGGAAUUACUGGGCGUAAAGCGCGCGUAGGUGGUUUGUUAAGUUGGAUGUGAAAUCUCCGGGCUCAACCUGGGAACUGCAUUCAAAACUGACAAGCUAGAGUAUGGUAGAGGGUGGUGGAAUUUCCUGUGUAGCGGUGAAAUGCGUAGAUAUCUGGAGGAACACCGGUGGCGAAGGCGGCAUCCUGGACCGAUAUUGACGCUGAUGCGCGAAAGCCAGGGGAGCAAACGGG